GUGGGGAAUAUUGGACAAUGGGCGAAAGCCUGAUCCAGCCAUGCCGCGUGUGUGAAGAAGGUCUUCGGAUUGUAAAGCACUUUAAGUUGGGAGGAAGGGCAGUAAGUUAAUACCUUGCUGUUUUGACGUUACCAACAGAAUAAGCACCGGCUAACUUCGUGCCAGCAGCCGCGGUAAUACGAAGGGUGCAAGCGUUAAUCGGAAUUACUGGGCGUAAAGCGCGCGUAGGUGGUUCAGCAAGUUGGAGGUGAAAUCCCCGGGCUCAACCUGGGAACUGCAUCCAAAACUACUGAGCUAGAGUACGGUAGAGGGUAGUGGAAUUUCCUGUGUAGCGGUGAAAUGCGUAGAUAUAGGAAGGAACACCAGUGGCGAAGGCGACUACCUGGACUGAUACUGACACUGAGGUGCGAAAGCGUGGGGAGCAAACAGGAUUAGAUACCCUUGUAGUCC
rnacentral:rRNA from 1 species